UACGAACCGUGCGAACGUUGUUCGGAAUCACUGGGCUUAAAGGGCGCGUAGGCGGGCUGACAAGUCUGGGGUGAAAUGCCGCGGCUCAACCGUGGAACUGCCUCAGAUACUGUCGGCCUCGAGGAAGGUAGGGGCAUGCGGAACUGUAGGUGGAGCGGUGAAAUGCGUUGAUAUCUACAGGAACUCCGGUGGCGAAAGCGGCGUGCUGGACCUUUUCUGACGCUGAGGCGCGAAAGCUAGGGGAGCAAACGGG
rnacentral:rRNA from 1 species